rnacentral:rRNA from 1 species
CGCCUGGCGACCUUAGCGCGCGGGAACCACCCGACCCCAUCCCGAACUCGACCGUGAAACCGCGCCGCACCUAUGAUCGUGUGAGCAUUACUCACGCUAAAGUCGGCCAUCGCCAGGCU